rnacentral:rRNA from 1 species
AAAGAAAUGGGGAACCCCGGGCGGCCCGGGUAUUUAGGGCUUAGGUUUGGGUAAGGGUAACCGGCUUUACCCCAGGGCGACGAUACGUAGCCGACCCUGAGAGGGGUGAUCGGGCACACUGGAACUGAGACACGGUCCAGACUCCUACGGGAGGCAGCAGUAGGGAAUCUUCCGCAAUGGGCGAAAGCCUGACGGAGCAACGCCGCGUGAGUGAUGAAGGUCUUCGGAUCGUAAAACUCUGUUAUUAGGGAAGAACAUACGUGUAAGUAACUGUGCACGUCUUGACGGUACCUAAUCAGAAAGCCACGGCUAACUACGUGCCAGCAGCCGCGGUAAUACGUAGGUGGCAAGCGUUAUCCGGAAUUAUUGGGGCGUAAAAGGCGGCGGCGUAAGGGCGGGUUUUUUUUUAAGGUUCUUGAAAUGUGAAAGGCCUCAUCUUGUUUUUUUCUUUUGUGGGAUAAUUUUUUUUUAUCUGGAAAACUUGAGUGCAGAAGAGGAAAGUGGAAUUCCAUGUGUAGCGGUGAAAUGCGCAGAGAUAUGGAGGAACACCAGUGGCGAAGGCGACUUUCUGGUCUGUAACUGACGCUGAUGUGCGAAAGCGUGGGGAUCAAACAGGAUUAGAUACCCUGGUAGUCCACGCCGUAAACGAUGAGUGCUAAGUGUUAGGGGGUUUCCGCCCCUUAGUGCUGCAGACUAACGCAUUAAGCACUCCGCCUGCGGGA